rnacentral:piRNA from 1 species
AAAGAGACUUAAUAUGGAGCCAG